rnacentral:lncRNA from 1 species
AUGCCUUUUUCCCGUGUCCCUGAAGUGCCAGUUGCUUGUCAAGCACUUGCAGAAGUACAGGAGAACCCCCUCACCUGGAAUCCCAGAGUCGUCAUAACCGCGUCUCGACACCAGCAGCAUUCUCACUCCUGGACAGUGCACACACAAGACUUCAAAAGUGAGACCACAGGACAACAGGGACCUGUAUUGCCAGGGUGCCUUUCAAGGAAGUUAAAGAGAAGCAAUUGGUUUCAAAAAAAAAACACCUUGACCAAAGAAAUCAGUAACAAAGAGUUAUCAGCAACUAAAAAAAACCUAAAACACUGGAACAUUUCUUUUUCAAGAGAGAUUACAGAGCACUGCCAAAUCACAGAUUUAUUCCAGCAUUGGAAAAACAAGACCUGAGAACAGCUUCAGUUCACAAUGCUUAGCGGUGGUAUUUGUGGCAGCUCACAGAGAAGUCCAUGCACAGAAGUGUGCUUUCAACAGCAAAGCAAAUAAAUUCUUUCUGGAAUCAGCUAGUUAAGAAUUU